GUUGACAGUGAGAGGACGUUUCUUUUUUUGCUGAGUUUAUGUGAACUGGGUGAUCUAUAUAGUCUAUCCAAAGCAGAAACACAUUUGGUAAAAACUGGUUGAAUCAAAGUUGUUUCCAGAUUAUUUUAACCAAAAAAUGUAAUGAUGUUGUGGAAAACUGAUUGGAUUUGCAAAUAGUCAUCAACUUAAAGGUAUUUUGUAUUUUACACCCUACUUUUAACCUAAAUUAAAUGACAGGGUGACAUGUUUGGUUGAUUUCACGUUGAAUUCACGUUAGUUAACAACUCAACAAAAUGUGCAUCAAAACAAGAUGUUAAACUGACAUCUGUGCCCAGUGUGAAGACUCACAUUGCUGAGACUGCUGUGUUGAGUGGGUGGGAGGUUACUUUCUGCUGAUUGCUUUGCUGCUCUAAUGGAAUAGUGGAAAGCGCUGACCAGCAAAGUACUGCUAUCUGGCACACUCCCUUGAUAGAUCAGAGGAUUUGCUUUGACCUUAACUACAGCAUGUGUCAGUGAGAAUAAACUAAGGCAUCUACACAUGCUUUUGUUGGCAAAAAUGUGUCACAAAAAGCGGAUAUCUUUGCAAUCGCAAGCAUUGCAAACCCCGACUGGAUCAACACAGGCGAAUCUGCAGGUAAUUGGGGAAUUAUUGAACUCUUAUCUUUGACAUUGACCACUGUAUUUUCCUUUUAAUGUUACAGCAUCACUGAUGGAAUGAUUCCCCUUUGCAGAUUGUUAUACGUUAUACAUUCAUUGAAGCCUUUACCUGCUGCUGCAUUCACCCUCUAGCANNNNNNNNNNCCGCAGAGCCUGCUCGAGCUGCCUUGGUUCCUACUUCGCUAUGUCCGCACCAGAGCUUGCUAGCUAGCGGUCUAUUUACACUACAGAUGCUAUUCCAGCAGCGGAGAAGGGGGCAUGAAUAAGCAAGAGGGAGGAUGGGUUCUCGUUUUCCUGACGGCUAGCUAGCCUUAGAGCUUCGCUGAAAACAAGGACAUACUGAAGGCACAGCAUUAUUCGAUUAUUUAGUACUUCUGUCUGACGGAGUUUUGUUCGUGAAAUGGUUUAAAGUACUUAUUCAAAUGGGGGUUCGGCCGUCAAGCACCCUCUCUGGGUUGUUGUUCGGCACACGGAGUUCGAAUGUGGGAAAUAGCUAGCUAGGUGGCUAGCUAUCCGGCUAGUCUCAAUAACCAAAUGCUGCUGCUACCGUGCAGAUCCGAGCGAGAACACCAGCGACUGGAGACUUGGGCCCUGACGUUGCGCCAGCUCCUUUUGCUUUAUCGGAGGAAGAUUCGGGUCGAAAAGAUGGUCGUUUGAGAUGUGAUUUUUUUCCUCCGUUUUUAGCCAUAUGUAAGCGGAAUGAAGGUGUGUUGAUUUGCUGUUGCUGCCAUGUCCAAAUGAAUAAUGACAGGCUGAACCUCCAAACCAGUUGAAUCUCUUUUGAAGGGGGUGAGGUGGACUGAUAACUAUCUAACGGAAACAUAUAUCUAAAAACUGUAUUUCUGAGGUUUACACUCCUUGGUCUUACCUGGAACUCUAAGCCACGUCUUUCAUAUCUGCUCAUUUAAAGCACACAGACUUGAGCUGCAAAUAUGGAUAAAUUAACAAUUAUAUC
rnacentral:lncRNA from 13 species